rnacentral:rRNA from 1 species
AUUGAACGCUGGCGGCAGGCCUAACACAUGCAAGUCGAACGGUAACAGGAAGCAGCUUGCUGCUUUGCUGACGAGUGGCGGGCGGGUGAGUAAUGUCUGGGAAACUGCCCGAUGGAGGGGGAUAACUACUGGAAACGGUAGCUAAUACCGCAUAACGUCGCAAGCCCAAAGAGGGGGGCCUAAGGGCCGCUGGCGAUCGGAGGUGCCCAGAUGGGAUUAGCUAGUGGGUGGGGUCACGGCUCACCUAGGCGACGAUCCCUAGCUGGUCUGAGAGGCUGACGAGCCACCCUGGAACUGAGACACGGUCCAGACUCCUACGGGAGGCAGCAGUGGGGAAUAUUGCACAAUGGGCGCAAGCCUGAUGCAGCCAUGCCGCGUGUAUGAAGAAGGCCUUCGGGUUGUAAAGUACUUUCAGCGGGGAGGAAGGGAGUAAAGUUAAUACCUUUGCUCAUUGACGUUACCCGCAGAAGAAGCACCGGCUAACUCCGUG